rnacentral:rRNA from 1 species
AUUGAACGCUGGCGGCAGGCUUAACACAUGCAAGUCGAGCGAGCGGCGGACGGGUGAGUAAUGUCUGGGGAACUGCCCGAUAGAGGGGGAUAACUACUGGAAACGGUGGCUAAUACCGCAUACUAUCGGAUGAACCCAUAUGGGAUUAGCUAGUAGGUGGGGUAAUGGCUCACCUAGGCGACGAUCCCUAGCUGGUCUGAGAGGAUGACCAGCCACACUGGAACUGAGACACGGCCCAGACUCCUACGGGAGGCAGCAGUGGGGAAUAUUGCACAAUGGGCGCAAGCCUGAUGCAGCCAUGCCGCGUGUAUGAAGAAGGCCUUCGGGUUGUGAAGUACUUUCAGUGGGGAGGCGUUACCGACAGAAGAAGCACCGGCUAACUCCGUGCCAGCAGCCGCGGUAAUUC